UACGUAGGCAGCGAGCGUUGUUCGGAGUUACUGGGCGUAAAGCGUGCGUAGGCGGUGUCUUAAGUUUGUUGUGAAAUCUCCCGGCUUAACCGGGAGGGUGCGGCGAAUACUGAGAUGCUGGAGUGCCGGAGAGGUAAGCGGAAUUCCUGGUGUAGCGGUGAAAUGCGUAGAUAUCAGGAGGAACACCUGCGGUGUAGACGGCUUACUGGACGGUAACUGGACGCUGAGGCACGAAAGCGUGGGUAGCAAACAGG
rnacentral:rRNA from 1 species